CAAGUCGAGCGGAUGAAGGGAGCUUGCUCCUGGAUUCAGCGGCGGACGGGUGAGUAAUGCCUAGGAAUCUGCCUGGUAGUGGGGGAUAACGUUCCGAAAGGAACGCUAAUACCGCAUACGUCCUACGGGAGAAAGCAGGGGACCUUCGGGCCUUGCGCUAUCAGAUGAGCCUAGGUCGGAUUAGCUAGUUGGUGAGGUAAUGGCUCACCAAGGCGACGAUCCGUAACUGGUCUGAGAGGAUGAUCAGUCACACUGGAACUGAGACACGGUCCAGACUCCUACGGGAGGCAGCAGUGGGGAAUAUUGGACAAUGGGCGAAAGCCUGAUCCAGCCAUGCCGCGUGUGUGAAGAAGGUCUUCGGAUUGUAAAGCACUUUAAGUUGGGAGGAAGGGCUGUAGGCUAAUAUCCUGCGGUUUUGACGUUACCAACAGAAUAAGCACCGGCUAACUUCGUGCAGCCG
rnacentral:rRNA from 1 species